AUUGAUGAAAGCAUCUCCAAUGAGUAUUUCGCAUUGGAUUAGUUCUCAUCGAUGUCG
rnacentral:pre_miRNA from 1 species